GUGAGGGGCUGGGCGAGAGAAGGGAGGGGAAAGGAUGGGGGAACGCACGCCCCAAGAGCGAAAGCAAACAGCUAGCUGUGGAGGCGCCGCCCGCAGUUCAGGCUUCCCAACAGGAUAGCUGGACUGGGAUCCACCCGGUAUUUCGCAGGAAAGGGGGGGGGUGGGACGAAGCAAGAGGAGGAGAGUGCAUUACUAGAGGACAGAAGGAGGGAGGGAAGGAG
rnacentral:lncRNA from 1 species